rnacentral:rRNA from 1 species
CCUACGGGUGGCAGCAGUGGGGGAUAUUGCACAAUGGGGGAAACCCUGAUGCAGCGACGCCGCGUGGGUGAAGAAGUAUUUCGGUAUGUAAAGCCCUAUCAGCAGGGAAGAAAGAAGACGGUACCUGACUAAGAAGCCCCGGCUAACUACGUGCCAGCAGCCGCGGUAAUACGUCGGGGGCGAGCGUUAUCCGGAUUCACUGGGUGUAAAGGGAGCGUAGACGGCCGUGCAAGCCAGGAGUGAAAGCCCGGGGCCCAACCCCGGGACUGCUCUUGGAACUGUGCGGCUGGAGUGCGGGAGGGGCAGGCGGAAUUCCUGGUGUAGCGGUGAAAUGCGUAGAUAUCAGGAGGAACACCGGCGGCGAAGGCGGCCUGCUGGACCGCGACUGACGUUGAGGCUCGAAAGCGUGGGGAGCGAACAGGAUUAGAUACCCGAGUAGUC